UUAUGGCCACAUCAAGUUGAAACACCAGUUCCCGUACAAUCACCGAAGUUAAGCAACGUCGAACAUAGCCAGUACCUAGAUGGGUGACCGAUUGAGAAUACCUGGUGCUAUA